rnacentral:miRNA from 1 species
CUUUACAUCCUCUUUGUU